GGGCCAUAUCACGUUGAAACAACAGUUCUCCUAUGAUCACCGAAGUUAAGCAAUGUUGAGCCUGGUGAGUAUCUAGAUGACUGAUCGCUUGGGAAUACCAGGUGCUGUAAG